rnacentral:rRNA from 1 species
AAACGACGCCACCAGCGAUUAGCCUGAGUUCUUUAAAUGACUCGGCUGGCAGCUUCCGGGAAACCAAAGUUUUUCGGUUCCGGGGGAAGUAUGGUUGCAAAGCUGAAACUUAAAGGAAUUGACGGAAGGGCACCACCAGGAGUGGAGCCUGCGGCUUAAUUUGACUCAACACGGGAAAACUUACCCGGCCCGGACACUGGAAGGAUUGACAGAUUGAGAGCUCUUUCUUGAUUCAGUGGGUGGUGGUGCAUGGCCGUUCUUAGUUGGUGGAGCGAUUUGUCUGGUUAAUUCCGAUAACGAACGAGACUCUAGCCUACUAAAUAGACUACCGUUCCUUUGUGACGGUAGGACUUCUUAGAGGGACAGGCGGCGACUCAGCCGCACGAAACAGAGCAAUAACAGGUCUGUGAUGCCCUUAGAUGUCCGGGGCCGCACGCGCGCUACACUGAAGUGAUCAGCGUGCAUUAAUAACCCUCUCUGUCAAGAGUGGGUAACCCAUUGAACCUUCUUCGUGAUUGGGAUAGGGUAUUGUAAUUCUUACCCUUGAACGAGGAAUUCCCAGUAAGCGCGAGUCAUAAGCUUGCGUUGAUUACGUCCCUGCCCUUUGUACACACCGCCCGUCGCUACUACCGAUUGAAUGAUUUAGUGAGGUCUUCGGACUGGCUGAUGCAGCUGC